rnacentral:rRNA from 1 species
GACGAACGCUGGCGGCGUGCCUAAUACGUGCAAGUUGAGCGCUGAAGGUUGGUACUUGUACCGACUGGAUGAGCAGCGAACGGGUGAGUAACGCGUGGGGAAUCUGCCUUUGAGCGGGGGACAACAUUUGGAAACGAAUGCUAAUACCGCAUAAAAACUUUAAACACAAGUUUUAAGUUUGAAAGAUGCAGUUGCAUCACUCAAAGAUGAUCCCGCGUUGUAUUAGCUAGUUGGUGAGGUAAAGGCUCACCAAGGCGAUGAUACAUAGCCGACCUGAGAGGGUGAUCGGCCACAUUGGGACUGAGACACGGCCCAAACUCCUACGGGAGGCAGCAGUAGGGAAUCUUCGGCAAUGGACGAAAGUCUGACCGAGCAACGCCGCGUGAGUGAAGAAGGUUUUCGGGUCGUAAAACUCUGUUGGUAGAGAAGAACGUUGGUGAGAGUGGAAAGCUCAUCAAGUGACGGUAACUACCCAGAAAGGGACGGCUAACUACGUG